rnacentral:rRNA from 1 species
UACGGAGGAUGCAAGCGUUAUCCGGAAUGAUUGGGCGUAAAGCGUCCGCAGGUGGCUGUGUAAGUCUGCUGUCAAAGAGCGAAGCUCAACUUCGUAAAGGCAGUGGAAACUACACGGCUAGAGUGCGUUCGGGGCAGAGGGAAUUCCUGGUGUAGCGGUGAAAUGCGCAGAUAUCGGGAAGAACACCCGUGGCGAAGGCGGCUUUCUGGGACGGUACUGACGCUGAGACGCGAAAGCGUGGGGAGCGAACAGG